rnacentral:rRNA from 1 species
CCUACGGGAUGCAGCAGUGGGGAAUAUUGCGCAAUGGGCGAAAGCCUGACGCAGCGACGCCGCGUGAGUGAUGAAGGUCUUCGGAUCGUAAACCUCUGUCAGCAGGGAAGAACGGUCACUGUGCUAAUCAGCAGUGAAUUGACGGUACCUGCAAAGGAAGCACCGGAUAACUCCGUGCCAGCAGCCGCGGUAAUACGGAGGGUGCGAGCGUUAAUCGGAAUUACUUGGCGUAAAGCGCUCGUAGGCGGUAUGUCAAGUCAAGGGUGAAAUCCCCGCGCUCAACGUGGGAACUGCCUUUGAAACUGGCAACCUGGAGUGUGUGAGAGGAUAGUGGAAUUCCAGGUGGAGGAGUGAAAUCCGUAGAUAUCUGGAGGAACAUCAGUGGCGAAGGCGACUAUCUGGCACAUAACUGACGCUGAGGAGCGAAAGCGUGGGUAGCAAACAGGAUUAGAUACCCGAGUAGUC